CAAUAUGACUGAUAAUGCGGAGAAGUGGUCACUCGUACAGUGAAGAAAAAAACCACGUAAAAUUAGUAUAGUACCAACAGCAGAGAUUGAGAAGAAAGACAAUAAUGAAUUAUGGACAAAGUGGGGGAGAAAAUGGUUUGAGGCGGACGUAUUGAAAACAAGCGAUGAUAAAGAGUGGCUGUCUGGCUUGGAAUAUGAUACCGGUGGAAAUCUUCUUAAAGACAAAAGCAAAGGAAAAAAUGCAAGAGUUAAACAAAACAAUAUUGACAGGUUCCUACUUCAACAUCGCUGGAUCGGGGAUAAUGUCCAAGGAUGCAGUACUGCACCUGAUGAUUUAGAAGCCAUCAACAACGGCAAGGAAAAAAGUAAUGACAAUCAGAGAAAGAAAAAAGAGUAUGCGAAGAUUACUACGACGUCGACAGCGCAUCGAUUGAUACAGUUGAUUAAAUUACAUAGUUGAUACCUGAGGCACCGAUACUAUGAGCACUACAAAAGCUUAGGAAUUCCACUAUCGGAAGACCAACAGACUCGUCAGGGAAAGAAAAGAGAAGAAAGAUUAAAAACUGAUAGAAAAGAUGACUGUCAGAUGAUGGAUAAAAAUCUUCAUGGAAAAGUAGACAAAGAAAAAGAAAGGACUGAGAACGAUGACAUAGACUGUGGAAGGCUGUUAGAAGAUAGUGAAGAGCAUAGAAGAUAGUGAAGAGAUAGUGAAAUGCAAGAGCUCUACGUAGAAUUGCGAGCACUCAAAUCCCAAAAACUACUUCUCAACAACACAAAUAUUGAAAAAAAGGAGAAUUACUCUCGUCUUUUCCCUGAAAUAUGAAUAAAUGUCCAGUAAUGUACCUGGAUGAAAACUUCUUCGCCACUUUCUCGCUUCUUAGGAAAUUUUCCCAGGAUCUGGUGUUUAUUGUGCCUUCCGCGACUUUGGCGAUCUGGAGGACAAAUUUUCUCAUGAUCCUGGAAAAUUCGGAUGUGCUUUAAUGGAACUAAUAAUGGGUGUUGACUUCGCGG